UGGAAGGCACAACUCAAACGAGUGAUGACAGCCUGAUCAAUAACACACUUUUGGCCUUUAGUAAAGUGUGUGCUGAUGUACUGUGAUUUCCCAAGCCACACAUUGAGUGUGUGUGUGUGUGUGUGUGUGUGUGUGUGUGUGUGUGUGUGUGUGUGUGUGUGUGUGUGUGUGUGUGCGUUGCAAAUCAAAACGUACCAACGGAACAAACCAGAUUGAAAGACAUGCAGGAGGCAGAAUGAUAAAAUAUUUUCCUCAAAACUACAGCUCAGAUCUGAGAUUUGAUCGUUAAUUUUUCUUGUGGGACUCGGGAUACGAAUGGAAUGAUAAUGUAUAAAUAUGUUAAUAUGCAAGGUGGAGCUUGUGGUGAUUAAAAAUGACACUUAUUGUGAAGGCAAAAAAAAAAAAAAAAAUUCCUCUCCGGCAUAGUUUUCUCUCUCUAAAUACAUUUUCAAAAUCAGUAUUUCUGCAUUUAUGGUGAAACUAAAACGAAAAACUUCACAAUCAGAGACAGCUGGGAAAGAAGGCGGGACCAAGGGACCGGUCAAUCCUUGCUCAUACACAUCGCGGCUCACACUCAAACUCUCGCAAAGAAAGGAGACUUUUCUACUUUCUUGGCCGCUUAUUUCACACUCGUCUGUAACAACACAGGUUCAAAAGAAAUUAUUGGAAACUUCUCGACUUGUAAAUGUUGUUAUUUGAAGCGUGGACGGCUCAUUCUGGACACCUGCAACCACCACCUGCGCCAGCGUUACCAUUAACAUCGGCUUGUUAGUGUCAGAGCGCUGGCCUUGGAUGAUGUCAACGAUUUCUCGUCCUUUUGAUUGGUUGGCAAAACAGUUGGAAGGGAAACCCACGCCCGUCGUGAUCCGCACACAUUGAUACUCUUAAUAAUCGGCAUUUCUGGUCUCCCAGGGGUUUCUGGGCAUGUGGGGCAUGGAGAUGAGGAGGAGGGCCACGCCGCUCAGGAUGAGGAGGGUGAAGGA